AAUAAUUGAGGCCAACUUUAACUAGUAGACUUCGUACAAUAGUUGCAAAUAAAAUAUGCCAUAAAUAAUAUGAAACCUUAUUAUAAGUUUAACAAUAUUUUUUUUAAAUCGGAACUAUAUUUUCUGUGGCGCCAACUUACUUUCACAAUCACAGUUCACAAUAAUCAGUAAUUUGUCAUAUCAUCCAACAUGUUUUAAAUCGAUUGAUCUAAAAUAUAAUCAAAAAUCUUAACCCCAAACAAUACAGACAUGUUUCAAAAUGGUUAAACAGAAAAUUGCAUAAAUGAAAAUCAAAAUUAAAAUGGGUCAAAUAGUCGAUAAAAAGUCGUCCACUAAAAUGUCUAAGACUGGAUCCGGCAUAAGGAAAUCAUCAGGCGGCGUCAAAGGGAAUAAAAAGAAUGAAAUAGAUUUCUGUGAUCCCAAAGUGCAGGGUGUAUUGUUAGUGGGACUCCUCGCUGUACUGGCCCUGGCUCUAUGGUUUGGGUUUACGAGUGGAUGCUUGGGCAACCGUCGACGUCGGAGAAGACGGUCUUGCUGUUGAAAUAAUAGUGCUUCCAUCCAACUGAACAAUCAGGAAGUUCUUCAUCUGAAGCUGAAAAUGAAAAUAUCUUUUUUAAAUAACAGUUUUUUUAAUAUAUACAUUUGAAUAAAUGCAACACCAAACAGACUUGCCUUGAUUAAUUAAAACAAAAUUUAAAUU